rnacentral:rRNA from 1 species
UACGUAGGGUGCAAGCGUUUAAUCGGAAUUACUGGGCGUAAAGCGUGCGCAGGCGGUGAUGUAAGACAGAUGUGAAAUCCCCGGGCUCAACCUGGGAACUGCAUUUGUGACUGCAUCGCUGGAGUGCGGCAGAGGGGGAUGGAAUUCCGCGUGUAGCAGUGAAAUGCGUAGAUAUGCGGAGGAACACCGAUGGCGGAAGGCAAUCCCCUGGGCCUGCACUGACGCUGAGGCGCGAAAGCUAGGGGAGCAAACGGG